rnacentral:ncRNA from 1 species
UACCCCUUCCGUUUUGGGUAAUCCUACUGAGAUGUGCGUCAGCGGUAACGCUGGGGUGCAAAGCUCUCAGGACAAUAUGGAGAAAUUCAAAAGACUGAUUUGAAUGAACUGUUAGGAUAAGAAUACCACGAAGAAAACGAAAGUUG